AAUUAAUCAACAGCAAGCAGGCAUGAUCUAUCAGAAGAUGGUUCAGGAGCUAGAGGAGCAGGAAAGGAAAAGAAGGUAAAACCAAGAACAGAGUGUGCAUGGCAUCGUCGCGUUCACAGGUGCAUGGAGGAGGGGUGUGAUCUGCAUUAGCUUGGACAGGUGUGCGUGCCGUGCACCAAUCUAUCUAUCCACCUUUCCCGCCCGGGGUCUCUUUAGCUGCAUGGUUCACAGGAGAAGAGUUGAGUUUCAC
rnacentral:lncRNA from 7 species